rnacentral:rRNA from 1 species
UACGUAGGUGACCAGCGUUGUCCGGAUUUACUGGGCGUAAAGAGCGCGCAGGCGGUCGUUCAAGUCGAGUGUGAAAGCCCCCGGCUCAACUGGGGAGGGUCACUUGAUACUGAUCGACUCGAAGGCAGGAGAGGGAAGCGGAAUUCCCGGUGUAGUGGUGAAAUGCGUAGUUAUCGGGAGGAACACCAGUGGCGAAGGCGGCUUCCUGGCCUGUUCUUGACGCUGAGGCGCGAAAGCUAGGGGAGCAAACGGG